rnacentral:snRNA from 1 species
UGAAUGUUUCGGCCCAGAGUUUAGGCUACUGUGGCUUGAAGUAAAUUUUGGAACGUCCUGCAUAUUUUGUGGGACAAU